rnacentral:lncRNA from 1 species
CGACGACGACGGCACCAACGGUGCGUCUACCACCUGUUGCUGUGCCGGAGGCGACUGAACCGGACGCUGUUGCAUUGCCGGUUGUUGCGAGCCUGAACCUGUAGCGGUAACCCUAGGACCGGCAGGAGCCUGUGACGGCGGCGCUGAGGGUGAACUUAUCGACAGAUUCUCAACCCUAGGCAACGACGGUGAGACUGACUGAACAGGAACAGGAACAGACGGACCGGCAUUUCCUCUGCCGGCCGGUUGUUGAGGAGAUGGAACCGAUGGUGAUGGUUGAACUCCACCGCGGCCUCGGCCAGGUUGAGGACCGCCGCGGCCUGGUGGAGGACCGCCGCGGCCUGGUGGAGGACCGCCGCGGCCUGGUGGAGGACCGCCGCGGCCUGGUGGAGGACCGCCGCGGCCUGAUGGAGGACCGCCGCGUCCACGGCCUCUUCCGGACAUCGGG